UGUUUGCCCCUCCCACUGCUCUGCCUCCUCCACCACCACUGACAUCAGGAAGUCUGCAGGUGGCCGGACACCCGGCCGGGAGCACUUACUCAGAGCAAGACAUCUUGCGACAGGAACUGAACACUCGUUUUUUGGCCUCUCAGAGUGCUGACCGCGGGGCUUCCCUGGGCCCUCCGCCCUACCUGCGGACCGAGUUCCAUCAGCACCAGCACCAGCACCAGCACACCCACCAGCACACGCACCAGCACACCUUCACGCCGUUCCCCCACGCCAUCCCACCCACCGCCAUCAUGCCGACGCCAGCACCUCCCAUGCUCUUCCAUUCCUAUCCUCCUGCAGUGUCGGGCAUCCCCCCUAUGAUCCCACCCACUGGCCCUUUUGGUUCACUACAAGGAGCAUUUCAGCCGAAGACAUCCAACCCUAUCGAUGUCGCUGCUCGGCCUGGGACAGUCCCACACACUUUACUCCAAAAGGACCCGAGGUUGACAGAUCCUUUCAGACCUAUGUUAAGGAAACCAGGGAAGUGGUGUGCUAUGCAUGUU
rnacentral:lncRNA from 10 species